UUAAAGGUUUUUUUUAAAACCAAAUUUAUACAAGUGAGAAUAUAG
rfam:Ornithorhynchus anatinus chromosome 3, whole genome shotgun sequence.